rnacentral:tRNA from 1 species
UCCCUGGUGGUCCAGUGGUUAUGACUCUGCUUCCAAUGCAGAGCGCACAGGUUCGAUCCCUGUUCGGGGAA